CCUACGGGGGGCUGCAGUGGGGAAUAUUGGACAAUGGGCGAAAGCCUGAUCCAGCCAUGCCGCGUGUGUGAAGAAGGCCUUCGGGUUGUAAAGCACUUUCAGUGGGGAAGAAAGCCUUGGGGCUAAUACCCUCGAGGAAGGACAUCACCCACAGAAGAAGCACCGGCUAACUCCGUGCCAGCAGCCGCGGUAAUACGGAGGGUGCGAGCGUUAACCGGAAUUACUGGGCGUAAAGCGCGCGUAGGCGGUCUGAUAAGCCGGUUGUGAAAGCCCCGGGCUCAACCUGGGAACGGCAUCCGGAACUGUCAGGCUAGAGUGCAGGAGAGGAAGGUAGAAUUCCCGGUGUAGCGGUGAAAUGCGUAGAGAUCGGGAGGAAUACCAGUGGCGAAGGCGGCCUUCUGGACUGACACUGACGCUGAGGUGCGAAAGCGUGGGUAGCAAACAGGAUUAGAUACCCGAGUAGUC
rnacentral:rRNA from 1 species